rnacentral:lncRNA from 1 species
CAAAAUCUCUGCAAAGGGGAUUUCAACCAAAAGAAAAAAAAUUUUAGAAAAAAAUAUUUUUAAGCUGAAGCAUUUUACUUUUUACUGUCUUAAGACUAGAAAAUUGUGUUAUUAAUAUUUUAUGGUAUUUCUUCAUAGAAAAGCCCAUCUGAUGUAAAACCUCUCCCCUCACCUGACACAGACGUGCCUUUAAGUUCUGUUGAAAUAGAAAAUCCAGAGACAAGUGAUCAAUGAGAAUCUGUUCACCAAACCAAAUGUGGAAAGAACACAAAGAAGACAUAAGACUUCAGUCAAGUGAAAAAUUAACAUGUGGACUGGACACUCCAAUAAAUUAUAUACCUGCCUAAGUUGUACAAUUUCAGAAUGCAAUUUUCAUUAUAAUGAGUUCCAGUGACUCAAUGAUGGGGAAAAAAAUCUCUGCUCAUUAAUAUUUCAAGAUAAAGAACAAAUGUUUCCUUGAAUGCUUGCUUUUGUGUGUUAGCAUAAUUUUUAGAAUUGUUUGAGAAUUCUGAUCCAAAACUUUAGUUGAAUUCAUCUACGUUUGUUUAAUAUUAACUUAACCUAUUCUAUUGUAUUAUAAUGAUGAUUCUGUCAAAUGAAAGGCUUGAAAUACCUAGAUGAAGUUUAGAUUUUCUUCCUAUUGUAAACUUUUGAGUCUGGUUUCAUUGUUUUAAAUAAAUUAAGGGGACACUAAAGUCCUAUCAUUCAU